rnacentral:rRNA from 1 species
GAUGAACGCUGGCGGCGUGCCUAAUACAUGCAAGUCGAACGCACAGUUUAUACCCUUGCUUGUUACACCAUAGACUGUGAGUUGUGAAUGGGAGAGUAACGAGCAGGUUAUCUGCCUGGUAGCGGGGGAUAAAUCCUGGAAACGAUAGCUAAUACCGCAUAAUAUUGAUUAUUGAAUGAUAAUUGAUUGUAAGAUGCUAUUGCAUCACUACAUGAUGGACCUGUGUUGUAUUUGCUAGUAGGUGAGGUAACGGCUCAACUAGGCGACGGUACAUAGCCGACCUGAGAGGGGGAUCGGCCACAAUGGGACUGGGGCACGGGCCAAGCUCCUACCGGAGGCAGCAGGAGGGAAUCUUCGGGAAUGGACGAAAGGCUGGCCGGGCAACGCCGCGGUGAGUAAGGAGGGUUUCGGAUCCGAAAGCUCUGUUGAAAAGGAAGAACGAGUGGUGGAGUUGAAAGUGCACACUGUGACGGUAUCUAACCAGAAAGCGACGGCUAACUACGUG